GCCAGGUGCGGUGGCUCACGCCUGUAAUCCCAUCACCUUGGGAGGCUGAGGCAGGAGGAUCGCUCGAGCCGAGGAGGUUGAGUCUGCAGUGAGCUGUGGUUGUGUCACUGCACUCCAGCCUGGGUAACAGAGUGAGACCCUGUCUCUA
rfam:Homo sapiens chromosome 9, GRCh38 reference primary assembly.